GACGAACGCUGGCGGCGUGCUUAACACAUGCAAGUCGAACGGAAAGACGCUGCGUUUGUGGGUUGCUCGAGUGCCGAGCAGGGGUGUGAAACAUGAGUAUACUGCACUUAACUGUGUGGUAACUUCAGGGGACUGGGGCUAAUACCGCAUAGGAGCUCCUGCUGCGUAGUGGUGGAUAGAGAAUGUCGGCGGUUGGGGAUGUUAUGGCGGCUUAUCCGCUGGUUGGUGGGGUAGGUGCUUACCAAGGCUUUGACGGGUAGCCGGCCUGAGAGGGUGAACGGCGACAUUGGGACUGAGAUAGGGACCAGACUCCAACGGGAGGCAGUAGGGGGGAACAUUGCAGAACGGGGCGAAGUCAGAUGCAGCAACGCCGGGUUCGGGAUGCCGGCCUUCGGGUGGUAAACCGAUUUCGCCUGUGACGAAGCGUGAGUGACGGUAAUGGGUAAAGAAGCACCGGCUAACUACGUG
rnacentral:rRNA from 1 species